AUGUUUUCAAGUAUGAAUGAAGUUUUUAGCAACUUUUUUGCUUAUAUUUUAUUUGAAUUAUUUUUUUGAUUAAAAAUUAUUGGUUAGAGUAUUACAAAGAUAAGUCUUCGGAAAUUUUGUUUUGAAUUUUAAAAUUUUUAAUUUUUAAUAUUUUCUUGGGGAUGGAUUUUAUGAAAUUUUUAUACUAUUGUUAUUUUUAAAAAUUACUCCGGAGUUAACAGGGUUGUAGACAUAUAAAUAGGUUUUUAUAUUAGUGUGCUGCGCUACAUCGAUGUUGUAUAUUUUUUUUUGAAAUGGAGAGAAUUUUUUUGUUUUGAGACUGUUCUUCUUGUAUAAAAAAUUGACUUGAUAUUAGUUUAGUUCGUCGUGAGACAGAGCGGUUUAUCU
rnacentral:rRNA from 1 species